UGCGGGGUAGAGCAGUGGUAGCUCGUCGGGCUCAUAACCCGGAGGUCGCAGGUUCGAAUCCUGUCCCCGCUA
rnacentral:tRNA from 1 species